GCCAUACCACCCUGAACACACCCGAUCUCGUCUGAUCUCGGAAGUUAAGCAGGGUCGGGCCUGGUUAGUACUUGGAUGGGAGAAAGGAUGAAUACUCAACUUUUGUAUCAACAUGGGUGGGACUGGAAGU
ensembl:rRNA 5S_rRNA 5S ribosomal RNA